UUUACCCGGUUGGAAUUAAGCAUAUCAAUAAGCGGAGGAAAAGAAAAUAACAAUGAUUUCCCUAGUAACGGCGAGUGAAGAGGAAAGAGCUCAAAGUUGGAACCUGUUUGGCCUAGCUAAACCGGAUUGUAGACUGUAGAAGUGUUUUCCAGGCAAGCCGAGUAAAUAAGUCCUUUGGAACAGGGCAUCAUAGAGGGUGAGAAUCCCGUCUUUGGCUUGAGCAUUUGCCUUUUGUGAUACGCUUUCAAAGAGUCAGGUUGUUUGGGAAUGCAGCCUAAAUUGGGUGGUAAAUCUCACCUAAAGCUAAAUAUUGGCGAGAAACCGAUAGCGAACAAGUACCGUGAGGGAAAGAUGAAAAGAACUUUGAAAAGAGAGUUAAACAGUAUGUGAAAUUGUUAAAAGGGAACCGUUUGGAGCCAGACUGGCUUGUCUGUAAUCAAUCUAGGCUUCGGCCUGGAUGCACUUGCAGGCUAUGCCUGCCAACGACAAUUUGACUUGAGGGAAAAAACUAAGGGAAAUGUGGCCCACUUGUGGGUGUUAUAGUCCCUUAGAAAAUACCUUGGGUUGGAUUGAGGAACGCAGCGAAUGCUUUUUGGCGAGUUUUCCAGGAAGGUUUUCUGAGGUACUACGGUAUCAAGGUUGAUCUUUUUGGUUAUACUUCUAUUCGCUUAGGUUGUUGGCUUAAUGACUCUAAAUGACCCGUCUUGAACCAACGGGACCC
rnacentral:rRNA from 1 species